GACGAACGCUGGCGGUGUGCUUAACACAUGCAAGUGGUGCGACGAACCAGAGCUUGCUCUGGGGCAAAGCCACGAACGGGUGAGUAACACGUGGGUAAUCUACCCCGAUGACCGGGACAACCCGAGGAAACUCGGGCUAAUACCGGAUGUGGUACGGAGACAUAAGUCUCUUUACUAAAGGUAGCUUCGGCUUCCGCAUUGGGAGGGGCCCGCGGCCCAUUAGCUAGUUGGUGGGGUCAAGGCCUACCAAGGCAACGAUGGGUAGCUGGUCUGAGAGGACGAUCAGCCACACUGGGACUGAGACACGGCCCAGACUCCUACGGGAGGCAGCAGUGGGGAAUCUUGCGCAAUGCGCGAAAGCGUGACGCAGCAACACCGCGUGAGGGAAGACGGCCUUAGGGUUGUAAACCUCUUUCAGAUGGGACGAAGGUGAUGCGGUGAAUAGCCGAUGUCAUUGACGGUACCGUCAGAAGAAGCUCCGGCUAACUACGUGCCAGCAGCCGCGGUAAU
rnacentral:rRNA from 1 species